UCGGGAAUUUUGGGCAAUGGGCGAAAGCCUGACCCAGCAACGCCGCGUGAAGGAUGAAGUAUUUCGGUAUGUAAACUUCGAAAGAAUAGGAAGAAUAAAUGACGGUACUAUUUAUAAGGUCCGGCUAACUACGUGCCAGCAGCCGCGGUAAUACGUAGGGACCAAGCGUUGUUCGGAUUUACUGGGCGUAAAGGGCGCGUAGGCGGCAAUUCAAGUCAUCUGUGAAAUCUCCGGGCUUAACUCGGAACGGUCAGAUGAUACUGCUUUGCUAGAGUGCAGAAGGGGUCAAUCGGAAUUCUUGGUGUAGCGGUGAAAUGCGUAGAUAUCAAGAGGAACACCUGAGGUGAAGACGGGUUGCUGGGCUGACACUGACGCUGAGGCGCGAAAGCCAGGGGAGCAAACGGGAUUAGAUACCCCAGUAGUCCCUGAGCGGGCUGGCAAGGCGCAU
rnacentral:rRNA from 1 species